ACACUAAAAACAAGUGUGUCUGUGUGUGUGUGUGUGUGUGUGUGUGUGUGUGUGUGUGUGUGUGUGUGUGUGUGUGUGUGUGUGUGUGUGUGAUGUGAUGGAGGAAUGUGAGCUGUAAGCUGUGACUUUUCCUCUCUCAGAUGUAGACAAAAGAAUUAGCUUGCACUUAGUGACUUAAAAUUUCACAGUAACUUAACCUUAAUUCAGUUUCACAGUAAAACUUUAACCGUUUCACCAGUUGACAAAACAACAAAGAUCAACUUGAAUAUCUAAAAGCCUGUCCAGCCGGGCCCAGCUUAAACAAACACAGAUAUCACAAUAAUAAACAAACAGACCGUACUUGGAGUUCUGAUGGCGGUUUUGGUACGAAAGAGAAAAAAAAACGUCUGAUAAUUUCAAGCAAUAGCACGGUGUAAUUGCUUAUUCUGAACUAUAAAGGAAAUGGGAUAAGAUAGAGAGAGAGAGAAAGAGGCGAGUUACUCAUCACCAGAACAGCGAGGCGUCCCUCACUGUUUGAUUUGACGGUUCUCCGUUGAUUUGACGGUCCUCCGCUGUUUUCCAGCCAGGUUCUGUACUCACAUGUCCGGAGUCAUAUGUGAACGUUUCCUCAUACAUUGGCUAGAGAUCAGCACCAGGAGAGCAGGCCUGAUGGGCUUGUGUGGUUUGGCUUUUCAGCGGUUCCGUGAGCUCCACUUCGGCACUUAGACCUCCCGCGUGCUGGCGUUGAUCGGAGCGACCGCAGCAAAACGUCUUCAAGCCAGUCGACUCUGGGCAAAAGACAAAGAACAACUUCGCUUCGCUAUAAUUUAUAGCUUUUUCGGCUGGCGGGAAAACUUGCACAUGCGCAGAACUCGUGCUCUCGGCUCCGCUUUGGUGACGUCAUCACACUGCUUCCGUGUGCAAAGCAUCAUGGGAAAUGAAGUGUCUCUUGGCCGCUGGAACUUAUUAUCUGCUUUUUCAGAGCAAUUUAGCACAGUCUUUUGGAGAAAAUUACUGCAGCAAUUUCUCACGAGGGCAGACCCUCAACAUCUGCAUUAUCAUUAAAGAGCAAGUAACGUCUAAAUUAACUUUUUUUUGCUGAUGAACUGUAUAAAUGAGUGUCUAAUAGUGUUUUAAAUGUGUGCAUUCUUUAUUUUAGCAUUUUGGUGCAUUUUCUUUAAAAAUUAAAAAUUCUGUCUAAAAACCACAGUAAUGUGCCACCUUCAGCUGAAAACAUAGAAUUUGAGUCAUUCUGAAUAAAUUUUAGCCAAUGGCUAAAGAGUAAAGUACUACGUAAACCAGUAGAGUACUACGUAGCAGCUCCGUGCCAAAGUUAUAAAAGCAACGAGCGUCUCGGCCACGCCCUGUGGCGAGUGGGAGUUGGAUUUGCAAGUGAGUGUAGGAGGUCAGCGGUAGUUCAGCAUUAGCAUAUAGCAUUAGCAUAUCCUAGUCUUAGCAUAUCUUUUAGUGUUAUAAAUACUUAUUUAGUGUUAGAUUUGGCUGUUUGAUAUUGUAGUUUAGUUAGUGUUUGGCUGUUAGUGUAAUUGGGAAAGUAUUUCGGGUUUAGUGCUCCAUUUCGUCUUAGUAUUCGUGAGUAGGUGUAGUGUAGUAUGCUUGCGGUGACUCUGUGGGCAUUUUACCCGCGAUUCUGCACGUCUCCGUUUGAAGAGGGAGGCUGCCCACCGUGGCUCUUCCGCGAUUUAGAUGCAGCCCACCGACUCUGCUCCCCCACCACGGUGGGCUCCAGUCUGAGGCUAAAUCUACCCAAGACACUGGCUGUCAGACUGAUUUAGCUGCAAGAAUGCACUUGUCCAGGCUGACGUGAAACCUUCCCUGUAGCAAAGCCAGCCAGAAUGGAGUUCACAGCCGCAGUGUGUCUGGUGACCCACGGGGACCAUGACGGAAAUUCAUCUUCCAGAAGGUCCCAGAGCAGCGUCCACACCCCCUGAAAAGACCAAGGUGUGAGGUGUCUGCUGUUGAUUCCAGCUUCCACCUCAGUGACGGUGCAAGCUCAGUGAACUGUUCAAGCCUGGCUGAUCACCUGAUAACUCCUGCCAUCUGGUUAUGACAGCAUGAGGAUGUCCUCACACACCUGUAACCUAUCAGCUCAUCUGGCAGAAUAGAGAGAGAAGAGACAACACCACAUCUCCUGUUCCUGGAAAGCCUUCAGCCAUCCUUCGAUGACUGAGAACCUCCAUCAGCUUUGUCUCCUG